CAGGGAAUAUUAGUAAUGGGCGAAAGCCUGAACUAGCAACGCCGCGUGUGCGAAGAAGGCCUUCGGGUUGUAAAGCACUUUUUGAGAGGAUGAGGAAGGACGGUACUCUCAGAAUAAGUCUCGGCUAACUACGUGCCAGCAGCUGCGGUAACACGUGGGAGGCGAACGUUAUCCGGAUUUACUGGGCGUAAAGCGCGUGUAGGUGGUUUGGUAAGUAGGGCGUGAAAGCUCCUGGCUCAACUGGGAGAGGCCGUUCUAAACUGCCGAACUAGAGGAUGGUAGAGGGAGGUGGAAUUCCGGGUGUAGCGGUGGAAUGCGCAGAUAUCCGGAGGAACACCAGUGGCGAAAGCGGCCUCCUGGACCAUUCCUGACACUCAGACGCGAAAGCUAGGGUAGCAAACGG
rnacentral:rRNA from 1 species